GGGCCCAUUGUCUAGUGGCUAGGAUACAACCUUCACAAAGCAAUUUGAAAGGGGUUGGGGCAUGGGUUCAAUUCCCAUUGGGCCCA
rnacentral:tRNA from 1 species